GAUGAACGCUAGCUACAGGCUUAACACAUGCAAGUCGAGGGGAAACGGCAUCGAAAGCUUGCUUUUGAUGGGCGUCGACCGGCGCACGGGUGAGUAACGCGUAUCCAACCUGCCCAUCACUUGGGAAUAACCUUGCGAAAGUAAGACUAAUGCCCAAUGACAUCCCACGAAGGCAUCCGAAUGGGAUUAAAGAUUUAUCGGUGAUGGAUGGGGAUGCGUCUGAUUAGCUUGUUGGCGGGGUGACGGCCCACCAAGGCAACGAUCAGUAGGGGUUCUGAGAGGAAGGUCCCCCACAUUGGAACUGAGACACGGUCCAAACUCCUACGGGAGGCAGCAGUGAGGAAUAUUGGUCAAUGGGCGAGAGCCUGAACCAGCCAAGUAGCGUGCAGGAUGACGGCCCUAUGGGUUGUAAACUGCUUUUAUAAGGGAAUAAAGUGGGUCACGGGUGGCUUUUUGCAUGUACCUUAUGAAUAAGAACCGGCUAAUUCCGUG
rnacentral:rRNA from 1 species